rnacentral:rRNA from 1 species
CGGGGGUGCAAGCGUUGUUCGGAAUCAUUGGGCGUAAAGAGCGUGUAGGCGGCUGAGCAAGUCAGAUGUGAAAUCCCUGGGCUUAACCCAGGAAGUGCAUUUGAAACUGUUCAGCUUGAGUAAGGAAGAGGGAAGUGGAAUUCCUGGUGUAGAGGUGAAAUUCGUAGAUAUCAGGAGGAACACCGGUGGCGAAGGCGACUUCCUGGUCCUAUACUGACGCUGAGACGCGAGAGCGUGGGGGAGCAAACAGGAUUAGAUACCCU